GGGCUGUUAGCUCAGUUGGUAGAGCAAUCGCCUCUUAAGCGAAAGGUCAGAGGUUCAAAUCCUCUACAGCCCACCA
rnacentral:tRNA from 1 species